GAUCUGGGUUGAAUACAAGGGUAGUGUAAUUUGAAGUUUUCAGAAUUCCUAUUGCCAAAAUAAAAAAAUAUUUAGGUCGACAUAACAGUACAGUUGAUAAUCACUGUGAAAUUAAGACCAAUGAAAUGGUAAGGUUGAUAAUCACGGUGAAAGUAAGUAAUAUUUGUAUUUGCUCUUCUUGCCAUCACUGUGAACUCCUCGGACCGAACGCCUUAUCCUCUCCCUCCGUCACUUUUUCCUUCUGGGCUUCUUUUCCCCAUCCCAUCGUCUUCACUGAGAGAGAGAGAGAGAGAGUCGAGCUGGAGCAGCCGCUCACCGGUGAGGCCUCGCCGCGUCCCGUCGGUGGCUUAGAUUUCGGGGAGGCGCUCGAGGGGAGCGACGGCGGCGGCGACCUGAGAGGCGGCGGAGGUGCCGCUCGCAGGAAGUGGCGGUGGCGGCGACUGCCACACCAGCGGAGCUGUCCAAUGCCACAGCAGGGGCCUACCACGGCUCCGGCAAGGUGCCUGCGUUGCAAGCGGGGAGCGAAGACGGCGGCGACCUGGGAGGCAGCGGAGGUGCUGCUAGCAGGGAGCGGCGGCAGCGGCGGCGACCGCCCCUCCAGUGGAGCAAUCCAGGCGGCGGAGGCGGCGUGCUUGGUGGAUUGACGAUGACGACGGCACCCUUCGCUAGAAGAUCACCCGGUGGAUUGACGACGACGACGAACGGACCUCGUCCUCAACAUGUGUGAGCGAUUGGCAACAUCGACACCAGUGGUACGACUACGAGUAUGCAUUUCAACAUGGCAAAUUUUGUGUGGAAGAUGGUAAUUUAGUGAGUUGAAAUUCCAAUUUGCCAUUAAAUUUAGAUAGUUCAUUUUCACAUGGCAAUUUCUUUCUUCGACCCUGCAUCUGCGACACCUCCAGUUCGUCUACGAUGUAUCAACUGCAGGAUACAAGUUCGCUAGUGUUUUUGUGUCCUUCCAUUGCACAUUGCUGCAACAUUUUUUGUAGGCUGCCAGUUUGUGGUUUGUUCUAGAGCACAUGGCAAGUUGCAGAUAAAAAUGUGACCCCCCCCCCCCCCCCCCCCUCUAAAAAAUGAUGGAAAAUUUGUUUUGCAGUGAUGGCAAGUUGAUAUGCACCCCCAUUGCAAAUUUGCCAUGUUUUUUGUUUGGGAAACAACAAUAAUUGACAUGGAAAAUUCAUAUAUUUGA